rnacentral:lncRNA from 1 species
CUCAAAUAAAAAAAAUAAAGGUCCAAAAUAGAUUAUAUUGUUCGACCUAAAAUUAAAUUUAACUACACAUAUUAUUGAGAGAAAAACAAGAAUUUAUGAAAGACAUCACCAUAUUAGACUUUUGGAACGUGAAUCUCCGUGUUCUACCGUGUCUUCUGCCGUCUUUUGUAUCCCUAUUCGAGUGUGUAAUUAAUUUCAGCAAGCAGCAAUGAAUUUUCUUCCCAAGCAGCCGCAAUUUUCCUCUGUCAAUACCCUAUUGCAGCCCCUAACUAUGGAUAAAAUAUAGACUGUUGGCUGUUCUCAAUUCCGUGUGUGUCUUCUCAAAUAUGUUAAAUAUGUGUGUAAAUUGUAUAAUAAUGGCUGAAUCUCUCCUCAAUUCCCGUGCGUCUCUUUGUCCCAAAAAUUCCCUCCUUCAAUUCUCUAAAUAUAUAUAAAAUUGGCUCCUCUUAAAUCCUCUCUCCCCUCUUCUCUCGUUUUCUGUGAUGGAAUGU